GGGAGAGCAGCUCCUUGCCAGAGAGGGACGUCUGAAAAAGGGGAAAAGGCCAUGGGCAGCACCAGAUUUUAUAAGCAGGCUAGAGGAGGUGUCUGAUUUGGUAGGGCCCACAGGUGUGACGUUUAUAUAGCUGGGGCUGGUGGUGGGGUCGGGGGGAGGGAAGACUGGCUGCCCCAUCUUAAUCUUAUUAUGCAAAUGAACUCGCCCGUUGACUGGCGCCAUCUUGUCUGCUCCUGACUCUACACGUAGCUGAUAAUGAGAAGGGAAGAUGGGGCUCCCGUUUUGAACAUGAUUGGCACAACUGCCAGCAUCUAUGUCUGCAGCUCGAUUUUAUAGGCUGCUCAUUGUUAGAAAGGAAAAUGAUUUGGAGCUACUUUUCAUUAAAAGGAAAACCUUACUGAGGACUGCUGUACCCUCACUAUCUGCUUAAGUAAUUUCUUCUUUUUUUUUUUUUUUUUGAGACGGAGUCUCCAUGUUAGAGUGCGGUAGCACGAUCUCGGCUCACUGCAACCUCUGCCUCCCGGAUUCAAGAGAUUCUCCUGCCUCAGCCUCCGGAGUAGCUGGGACUACAGGCGCGUACCAACACACCCAGCUAAUUUUUGUAUUUUUAGUAGAGAUGGUGUUCCACCACGCUGGCCAGGAUGGUCUUGAUCCUUGACCUCCUGAUCUGCCUGCCUCGGCAUCUCAAAGUGCUGGGAUUACAGGCGUGAGCCACUGCACCCGGCCAGUAAUUUCUUCUUAACUCCUGUAUCAACAUAUGAUAAAAUAGAGCAUUUUAAAAACAAGUUUUUGAAAAGAUUAAGAAUUUAUAAAAAGCUCUAAGAAGGAAACUUCAAAUACGGAUCUCAAUCACAAGCAAGGUCUUUAGAAAAUAACUUAACAUUUUCAAUCAAUUGCCAUUCAGAACAUCUUUGGGUCCACCUAUGGCCUAGAAGCACCUGCCUCCUUUGAGUUGUCCUGCCUUUCUGAACCAAACAAAUGUAUACCUCACAUAUACUGAUUGAUGUCUUAUGUCUCCCUAAAAAAUGUAUAAAACCAGGCUGUAAC
rnacentral:lncRNA from 1 species